rnacentral:tRNA from 1 species
UGGGGUAUCGCCAAGCGGUAAGGCACCGGAUUCUGAUUGCGGCAUUCCGAGGUUCGAAUCCUCGUACCCCAGCCA